AACGCACCUUGCACCCUUUGGUAUUCCGAAGGGUACGCCCGUUUGAGUGUCAUUGUAAUCUCACACCCCAAGAUUCUUGUCGAGGGGAUAGUGGAUCUGGAUGCUGCCGUGUAACGACGGCUCAUCCGAAAUACAUGAGUGUAACCUGCGGAUCAGUGUUAUCUGACGUGAUAAGCAUCUUCGUCGGAGUCGAGGGAAACCAACCUUGGCACUGUGUCUGUGGGCUCUAUGCUGCAAACCGUCCUCGGACAAACCUUUGACAAUUUGGCCUCAGAUCGGGUGGGACUACCCGCUGAACUUAA
rnacentral:misc_RNA from 1 species